GUCCCUAUCGUCUAGAGGCCUAGGACACUGGGUUUUCAGCCCAGGAACGCGGGUUCGAAUCCCGCUAGGGAUACCA
rnacentral:tRNA from 1 species